UACGUAGGGUGCGAGCGUUGUCCGGAAUUAUUGGGCGUAAAGAGCUCGUAGGCGGUCUGUCGCGUCUGCUGUGAAAACCCGAGGCUCAACCUCGGGCCUGCAGUGGGUACGGGGCAGACUAGAGUGCGGUAGGGGAGAAUGGAAUUCCUGGUGUAGCGGUGGAAUGCGCAGAUAUCAGGAGGAACACCGGUGGCGAAGGCGGGUCUCUGGGACGGUACUGACGCUGAGACGCGAAAGCGUGGGGAGCGAACAGG
rnacentral:rRNA from 1 species